UACGUAGGGUGCAAGCGUUGUCCGGAAUUAUUGGGCGUAAAGAGCUCGUAGGCGGUCUGUCGCGUCGGCUGUGAAAACCCGGAGCUCAACUCCGGGCCUGCAGUCGAUACGGGCAGACUGGAGUUCGGCAGGGGAGACUGGAAUUCCUGGUGUAGCGGUGAAAUGCGCAGAUAUCAGGAGGAACACCAGUGGCGAAGGCGGCUUUCUGGUCUGUAACUGACGCUGAGGCGCGAAAGCGUGGGGAGCAAACAGG
rnacentral:rRNA from 1 species